UUGUAAUUUAUAGAAUAAAGGGUAGUAAGUGGAGAUUAAAGUCUGCUGGAAAGAUGCGCUAGAAAGGUGAUAGCCCCGUUCAGUCUCUUAACUUGCUUCUAUACCAUUAUUUCAACGAGUCAGGUUGCUUGGGAAUGCAGCCUAAAUUUGGUGGUAAACUCCAUCUAAAGCUAAAUAUUGAUCAGUGACCGAUAGCAAACAAGUACCGUGAGGAAAGAUGAAAAGAACCUUGAAAAGGGGGUUAAAAGUACGUGAAAUUGUUAUUAGGAAAGCACUUAAUCUCAUUGUGGAUUAAAUCAGUCUGUUUCGGCAGAUACUGUUUUAAUUAGUUAUGAUCAGUUAAGGUUGAUAAAGAAAAUUUGUAACAAGGUAUUAGUGUAGUGCUAAACUUACAGGUUACUUAUUAUUUGUCGAUAUUGACUGAGGAAUGCUACUUAAUCUUUUCUGGUUAAUAGUUUAUGGAGUUAAGCUAAACAACAUGUUGAUUAGUUUAAUUAAAGUGAUCUAUU
rnacentral:rRNA from 1 species